UAGGAGCCGCUUGUAAACACAUGCAGAUACAUAGAUCACCAUAUCAAUGCUCCAAAUGGGGAAAACAUUCAAAUAUUGUCUCCGUUACGAAAUCGCCGGCGGCCGAUUGGACCGACCAGUUGUAAUUCGAUCGUUCGUUGGUGUUCAUUGUAGGGGGUGUUCCCGCUUAAUUGGAAGUGUAUUCAAUAGGUUGAAAACCGCUCCGCUGGGAAAUCACUUCUAAGAACUAGUUAUCGCACCAUUUCCCAUUUGGACGAAGUGAACGGACAAAUUGCAAUCACAACGUCCGCCUAUUUGCGAGGACGAUGCAGUUGCCAAUUGCCGAAAAAGCUCCGCAACGGUUGCCAAUAAGUUUGGCAAUCAAGUCGGACUUCCCCUGCGCGGCCGAAACCGGCCAUAAUUACAAGUUAAUGGUGUCCGCGUGUAAGCUGUUCUCCGUUGGCCGGAGUACUGCGCCCUGUUGGUAAUAACUUUAUUAAUUACAUCCUCGGACUUGGCAAGACACUCGCAAGGACCUCGGCGUCCCUUUUUCGUUCCUGGGCAACAGCUGGCCUCCUUCGGUUCUUGUGUGCGCCUUAUUAAUUUAUUCAAUUUCCCCUUUUUACGGCCUCCCCAAGUGAAUUAGCAGCUGAAAGUGCUCUCAGUACUCUCACCGCUACUUCGUUUCCCUUUCAGCAGGAAAGUAAGGAAAGUAGUCCCUGAACUUUAAAUGACUUCCAUUACUGCACAUCUAAUCUCAUUUUUUGGUGUAGCAUAAGUUUGUGAAUAUUGAGUGAAAGGGUUUCAUACACUUCCAUGUCACGAGUACAUCCAAUCACAAGGCAUUGAUUUAAAAGGCUUAACUGAGGCGUGAAUGGGAUUUUCCUACCUUUUUUCGAUAAGAGCCACCAGUCAUAUCCACAUAAAUCACCGAGAACUGUUCUUCAAAAGCGGCAUCGCAUCAAAGACCGCCGACUGGCGCUUAAGCUCUGCUUCUGGCCCCCCGGGUCCAACUUUCCUCUCUGCUGACUAAAUGCCCACCAGCCUGUUCACAUAUGGCAACUAUUUGCCCGCAAAUUGGUAUAAAUGAUGGUGGAUUACGCCAAAUGCUCUCCAUAAAUAAGGAUUCCCAAUGUGGGAGGAAUGGGAAAUGAAAGAUAGAAAUCAACCAAAAUGAACUAUACUCUUUUUAUUAAAGAAAUUCAUAACAGAUUCUUAGAUAACAGC
rnacentral:sRNA from 1 species